GACGAACGCUGGCGGCGUGCUUAACACAUGCAAGUCGAACGCUGAAGACCUGGCUUUUGUUGGGUUGGAUGAGUGGCGAACGGGUGAGUAACACGUGAGUAACCUGCCCUCUUCUUUGGGAUAACGCCCGGAAACGGGUGCUAAUACUGGAUAUUCACUGAUCUUCGCAUGGGGGUUGGUGGCAAGGUUUGUUCUGGUGGGGGAUGGGCUCGCGGCCUAUCAGCUUGUUGGUGGGGUGAUGGCCUACCAAGGCUUUGACGGGUAGCCGGCCUGAGAGGGUGACCGGUCACAUUGGGACUGAGAUACGGCCCAGACUCCUACGGGAGGCAGCAGUGGGGAAUAUUGCACAAUGGGCGAAAGCCUGAUGCAGCGACGCCGCGUGAGGGAUGGAGGCCUUCGGGUUGUAAACCUCUUUCGCUCAUGGUCAAGCCGCAACUGUGGGUUGUGGUGAGGGUAGUGGGUAAAGAAGCGCCGGCUAACUACGUG
rnacentral:rRNA from 1 species